UACGUAGGGGGCUAGCGUUGUCCGGAAUCAUUGGGCGUAAAGAGCGUGUAGGCGGCUCGGUAAGUCCGCUGUGAAAGUCGGGGGCUCAACCCUCGAAUGCCGGUGGAUACUGUCGGGCUAGAGUGCGGAAGAGGCGAGUGGAAUUCCUGGUGUAGCGGUGAAAUGCGUAGAUAUCGAGAGGAACACCUGCGGCGAAGGCGGGUUGCUGGGCCGACACUGACGCUGAUGCGCGAAAGCCAGGGGAGCGAACGGG
rnacentral:rRNA from 1 species